rnacentral:rRNA from 1 species
UACGUAGGGGGCAAGCGUUGUCCGGAUUUAUUGGGCGUAAAGCGCUCGCAGGCGGCUCGCGGCGUCGUGCGUGAAACACCCCGGCUCAACUGGGGAGGGUCGUGCGAUACGGGCGGGCUGGAGGCCAGUAGGGGGACGUGGAAUUCCGGGUGUAGUGGUGGAAUGCGUAGAGAUCCGGAGGAACACCAGCGGCGAAGGCGGCGUCCUGGACUGGUACUGACGCUCAGGAGCGAAAGCGUGGGGAGCGAUCCGGAUUAGAUACCCGGGUAGUCCACGCUGUAAACGAUGCGGACUAGGUGUCGGGGGUAUCGACCCCCUCGGUGCCGCAGCUAACGCGCUAAGUCCGCCGCCUGGGGACUACGGCCGCAAGGCUAAA